AUGUGAGGCUUUUGAGAACGGUGUUAGUGAAAUCCUUGUUGGUUGUAACCCCCACCCCUCCACCGCCUAAUCCAGUUCCCGUUUAAUUUCUACUCAUUGUUACAGAACCGUCUUCGUUUCCCCCUCCUCGAAGCUUCUUCUACCUCUGCUUCCUCCACCGUCUUUUAGAUAUUAGUUCCCACCGCUUAUCUUAGUUUUCUCCACACCGCCGCUUCAAUCCAUUCUUCCAGUAUAAAAAAAAGCGACCGUCUACCUCUCCAUAACCAGCGAACUCAAUGUCACGUUUUCUGUCUGCUUCCGUGAUCAUGUCUACACGUAUUGCAACAAACACAUAUCUAGAAAUUGGCUAACAGUCGAAGAAGACGAUGAUGUCGGAGAAUGCCAGAAUAUAAGAAUGAUGGGGAGGAGUGAGGUCAUGAGGGGAAUCUGAUGGAGCUUAACCUGGAACGACCUGAUUAUGCAUAUACAAAUAUUAGAAGCUAUAUCAUUUCAAGAAGGAGAUAUUGAAAGGAGAAGAAGCGAUCGACUUCAUUCGAUUGAUCUCUUCCAGUCAUCCAGAUACCAAUCGACAUGCUUUUUGUGAUACAUCUUUGGGUUGUGUGAAGAAUUUCUAUCGUUGACGGAAGGAUCGAUUGCGAUGCUUUCUCUGGCAGAUUCCCUCUUUCCAUUCCCGACUCCCACUUCUCGCCUCUUUCUUAACCACCGCUUUUGGUGGGAUUCCGACGCCGUUUCGAUCUGCCAAUCGCCGCCGGGACAGAGAAAGCGAUCUCUGAUAUAAUUUGAAUCUAGCAAGAAAAAUUGAUCAAUAUCACUGAGCUUUUCCAGAAAUUUUGGCAUUUGGGAAUUCAGAUCAUUUAAGAGAUAUCUGAAGAAACCGAUUGUAAGUUAAUUGUUCUCUUUCAAUUCAUUACAGUUUAAUAGAACAGGUCUCCAAUUACACAUGAAAUUUAAUUAUGCCGUACCCAGUUGAUAUUGAGUUUUGAAGUUGAGUUUCACAAUGUAUCCCAACUGCUUGAUGAAAUGCUUGAACCAGAUUCUUCUUUACUAUAUUUUUCCAUGCUUACUACAGGUAAAGGAUAUAAAUAUUGUUUAUGUUUGUCCAAAUUGAUAUGCUUUUCAUUGUAGAUUGAAAGUUUUUGUGGUAUUCUUGACAACCUGUUCAAGGUUUGUGGAAGUUGAUGAUGACUACAUUCAAGAUGAUUUCAACCUCUUUGGGUUAAGCAUUCAAGUUCCUUAUUUUGAUUUUGCACUUGAUCUAAUCUUAGAUGCAGAAUCUUCUAAUGGUAAGUUGCAUUAUUUUUUCUGAAUGUUAGAUAUGUGAUUUUAUUGCUUUGUAUGUAGGUCAUUACUUCGAGAUUGCAGGAGUUGGGCCAACUCUAAGCCGAGGGACCAAAUUUGACAAAUCGUGAAACUGUGGUGGUCAUAAUAUGAUGUGCAAUUGGCAGAUUUUUUAUCUAUAUCAAAUCCGGAAUCAAACAACUGAACUGAAAUGUAAGAAUGCACUUUUCGUUUAUUGGUGUCUCAAAAUUAGCAGCAAUACCAACCACUUUGGAACAGGGAAAGGUUGACCUUCACAUUUCCCCUAAUAGAUGAUGUUGUGACUAAAAUGCACCUGCCAAAAAUCCGUUGGGUGAUUCAUUGAUCCAAAUUUGAAAAUCUUCUACUAAUACUUAUUAUUUUAUCUAUAAUCGCAAAUCGUAACCCACAAUUGCAUUGUACUUGCACUUUUUUUAACUGAUAAAAACAAUGUAUUGUCAUACUCAUUAACGACUCUAA